GAGACCGUGACCCUCCCACAGCAGGAGAUAUCACUCAGGCCCAGGGCAGGCAGAGUCUCCAACACACCCAGAGCUGCAGAUCAAGGUUUCCAUCAAUAGAGAAAAGGAUGUUGUAGAGAGCCCAGCAUAUCACGAUUCAGUGCAACAGAGAGACAGGGUCAGUUAUUAAACUGUUGUCAGCCUGCAGGGUUUUCAGCAUUUGGACAGUUUCUCACUUCUGCCCAGAGCAGAGCUAGUCAAGCAAAGGCUGUAACUCUCAGCAAACCUUCCCAAGUAUAUAAAAGGAUUAGGUAAGGGUGUUGUUAUUGGCUUUGUCUUGCUGGAAAUAGUGCAUUUUCAUUACACUGGAAUAGUCUACUUUUUCUAAGAUCUUACACAAGACAAAGGGUUGAUUUCUACCAUGAUGCAGGUAAGAGAAUUCAAAUUAAAAUGGGAAGUAUAGGUCAGGAUGGAACAACAGUCAUGCUGAAGUAAAAGCUCAUGAAUCAUCUCCAGUGUGUCUUACACAGUGUCAAAGCAUUUUUUUUUUAAUAUGAAGACACAGUAUUUGUUAUUCAUGCAAAAAUUCCAGAUAAAAACCAAGGGAUUGUCAAAAAUCCAUUUUACCCUUUCUGGUGGUGGUGGGAGACUUUAUAAUGCUCUAAAAGGGCCAUUCAGUGUCUUGGCCACUGGCUUUCAUUUCACAACAAAUGUAAGAUUCCACUUCCUCCAUUUUAGGUAGCCCACUGUUUUGAGUAAGAGACUGUAAGGAGAAAGGGAAGAGAACAAAUGCAAACACACCUCAUCUGAAUAGCUCCAUAGCCCAGUAGAAUGAAAUAUGUCAGGCCAAACCCAAUUCCUGUUUUCUUCAGUACUGAGUUUUAGAGGUAAAACACAAUGGUUUGUGAUUUUUAUUGGAUUAGAAGGCAAGUGGUUUUCUAUAUGUUCUCAAAGCCCUUUGAAUAUAUUUUUAAAAAAUCUUAAUAAAAAUUAGUCUUUUUAAUAUAGGCAAGUUUCAAAAGACUUCAGUAAAAGAACAGCAGCAGAUGGAGAUCCUGGGGAUGGAUACUAAAAUAUUACAAACUCCAUCCCAAAAGAACACAUAGUAUAAGGCAGAGUCUUUAAAUGAUAGCACGGCCCUUCACCACCACUUCCAGGCACAGGAAAUUAAAGAGCUGGAAUUGAAGCUGACAGGCAGAGCCAAGCAUGGAGCUGCCUGCAGCACAUUAUUUCCUCAGUGUCCUGCAGACUCCUGUGAUCCUUCCAUCUAUGGAUCCGCUGCCGGCUCACAGACUGACGACCUGGAGCUGCUUUGGUGCUGCAGAGCCCGAACGGCAGAGAUUCACGAGUAGUCUGCCAGCAAGGCUGGUUUCCAGGAGCAGCCUGGCAGCUCGGGCAGGGCAGUGGGAACGAGCUGCCAUCGAGCCCCUUGCUGCCUUGGCUGUUCCAGCGUCUGGGACAGCUUUAGUGUCUCAUGGAAGCAAGACCAGGCAGAAAUUGUUGGCCGUUCUUUACAAUAAUCUGAAAAGGGGAAACUGAUUUCCCUCUUCCUGCAAUAUCCUCCUCUCUGUUGUUGUCAAAGAAAAUACUUUGCCAGAGCACAACUCGCGCAGUUGCUUCCUAAUCCCUGUCCGAGAGCUGCCAGGCUGUGGGGGCGGGCAGGGAGGGGACCACAGCUAUCUUGCCUCAGCCCCCUGUGUGGAGCUAAGCCACGCUGCUGUCUCUGCCAGGCAGGGCUCACAGGCAUCUCCCCAGCGUGGAGGACCAUGGGGAGCCCAGCAGCAGUGAGGGGAGGAGGAAGGAGGAGCCACCAUCAAAUGGACACUUCACGUGUUAAGCUUAGAGCUGAAGACAACACACUCGUAACAAGUUUGCCUAAGUCUGGCAUUUAGACUAAAAUUAAUCAAAUAUCUGCUUGUAUCUCAUGUUAUGCCUCCAGCAAGAUUAAAAAAGAGUUACAGAAAGGCACUUUUACAUUUACUCAAAACCAGAAAAUACAGUUUUCAUGGAAAGGAAAAGCCUUUCUGGAGUCUGAACUGGGCUGAUGGAGGAAAUUGUUCUCAAAAGUUUCUGAUAUGAAGGGGUUUCCACCAUGAAAUGAGCUGUUAAAUAAAUACCCAUCAAAAUACCAACACUUUUUUUAAAGCUACCUGUCUCUAGGGCUUAAAAAAAAAAAAAAAGAUAAAGUGGUGAUGUUCUACCACAGAUACCUGUUCAUCUGUGAAGGAUGAUAAGGGAAAAACAUCUCUCAGAAGCUAAACUUCUCCUAAUGGUUCUCCUGAUAAAUGAAGGAGUCUGUUUCAUUCAGAAUUUUUCCUAAAUUUAGUCUGGCCUGAAACCAAGACACAAUUUCUCCAUUGACUUCAUGAGAAUUGCUGCCAAUUAAUAGCACAGCAUACCCAAUGAGCAUUGAGAAGCCUGAGACACAGUUCCCUGGAAUUCUUCAGACUCCAUGGUCAUGCAAACACCCCAGAACAACUCAAGUGUCCCCUGCAAGCUCUCGGUUCCAGAGGAUUUAAGAGCUGGAAGUGUGGGUGAAAACCUAGGGAUGUUUAUGUUGUCUCUUUAGGAAUCACACUGGUUACAAGUCAGUUUAAAAACCCAUUCUAUUUUUGAAUUAGAAUUUUGAUGCGGGGUAUUGCCUGGAUCCUCAUGUCUUUCCCAGUGGGCUGGGGCUGCCCAAUACCACUUGCUCCAGCAGCACUUUCUCCUCCUCAGAACCUUGGAGGAGUCUCUGGGACAACCCUGUGACCAGACAUGCUGAUAUAAAGCUACCAUUCCACUCUUGCUUGAAUCUCAGCAGUUCUCUCUCCUGGUCCCAUAGAAGAGCAUUACUACUUAUAAAAAAAAAAUACCAUAAUUGACCCAGGCAGGCUCAGAAAAGCUUAGAUGUUUGGACAAAACUCACAGGAGGAGGAUUACAUGGAUACUCUGCAGCUGGACACCAGGCAGCCAGAAGUGAUGAGCCAGCACAACAGAAGGGUGGAGCAGGGAUCACCAACUCAAAUGCAAGGUACAACAGGAUGGAGAAAGUGAGUAUGUGUCUGCUUGGUACCUGCCACAGUCAGUGUGGGGGGCCAGGAGAGGCAGAAUUUGAGAGAGAGAGGAACACUGUAGGCAAACCAUUGGAACUGGCAGCUGCUUUGCACAGCUCACUUCUGAGAACAUUUUAAUUCCCUGGUUUUAUGAAAUGCAUUUCCCCUUCCUUUAUUGCGCACAUUGUUCCAUCCAGCAGCCCUGCCAGCUCCCGUGUGAGCGAGCGUGGGGGGCUAUUGCUCAUUCCGAGCCAUAUGCUUCUGUCAGAUGUUUACUUGCACGAGUGACAAGUCAUUCUGAGCCUUUGAAAAGCUCCAAGAGGCAUUGCUGUUCCCCACUCCCACCUCAUUCCUGCAGCCACAGCCUGUGCUGCAGGCGAGGAGCAGGCGGCUCCCAGGCAGGCAGGGAGAAGGGACGAGACUCACAGGACGGGCAGAUGUGGGCCAUGGAGCAGCCCCCCUAAACUGGGAAGGAUGGUAUCCUGGAAGUAACAUAACCCCUCAGCAGUUACAGAAGAGUCAGUCACUCCAGAGAAGAUGGAAGCUUUUCCUUCCGUUCUGUGAAGGAAAAGCUAGUGAGGAAAAGGAGAGCAGUGAGAGCCUGGCACUUCUGCUACUGCCACUCUCCGUUGAACUAUCAAAGGCUUUUUAAACCUCUGCAGUUAAGAUCUUGUAUCCCCUUAGUGCCAUUAUCCCUAGGUGCAGUGAGGCAAAUUAAGUUUAAAGGUAAUGCUUCCAUUUUCUCUGUGUUUUCUUUUAAAGAGUAAAGGCCCUACAUAACUAAAUAUGUUAAAAUAUACUUUUAAUGUCCAAGUUACUUACUGGCAAGUUUGGAUGUCCAUGAGACCUUAAAACAAAGAAAUUCUGUGCCACAAGCAGACGAGGGAAGAAGUGCUCCUCAGGGAGAAGCUGAUGAAAGGGACAGCUGUAAUAUAAAAAUUUGGAGGCUCUCACAGAAUGAGAUGUUCACUUUGGGGCAUAUCCUUGGUACGAGCUCUAUUAGUGAUAGUGUUUCUUUUCUAAGGUGUGCUUAACUCCUAAAACAAGUCUUGGAAGCUCUUAUUUGAUCGAAGACUAGUCUUACCCAGCAGCAUCACCAUGAAAAAGAGGCAGAAUUUCUACUCCUUCUAAGGAAAACCACAGGUUUUUGCUUUUCUUUGUCAUGAAGAGCAGGUGGAGGUUCCAGUAUCUUAAGCAAUUUGGGGGGUGAUGGAAAGUGGAAUAGAUCCCUCUGACAGUCUGGUCAUCCCAGUGUCUGUACAUUAGAAUACUGCUAGUUAUUCUUGAAAUCCAGUAAAGCAGAUAUUUUCUAGCAAUUUACGAUCUGGUGGAUGUUGCUCCCAGCUUUCAGAAGAAUCAGUUCUCCACAGAUAUGUCAGCUGUGCUAAGAGUUUGGUCUUUACAACACCUCAGGGGAAGGUAAUCUAUUUUGCAUCUUCUUAAACUGUCCCUCUGCCUUUCCAUGUCCUAGUGUUCUCUCCAUGAUUUUACACCGCUUUAUCUUCUUUGCUUACAAGUACUCUACUUCUCUAAUCUUGGAAAAGAUUGCCCUUCCUUACACUCUACCUUUCUGACUUUCAAUAAAUUGGCUGGUGACUCCAUGACAACAGAAUUGAUCAUCUCUCCUCAAGCUGUCUCCACAGGUCACAGGUAAUCUGUCUGUUUGUGGGACCUUGUCUUCCCUGACAGCUCAGGUCCUGGUUAUCCUGCAGUACUCUUGGACAGUGACUGCUGAGCGAAAGGAGACAUUUCUGGUGCUGUUGUACCUGACUGUUCUGCCACUUCAAUGAACAUUCCUUCCCUGGCUCUCAGUGAUUGCUCUCAUUUUAUCCUCUCUGCUCCCGCUUGACAGAUUUGAAGUUUUGCAACUUUCUGGUUGUUUUUCAUCCAGCAUCAGUGUUUCCCCUUUCUUGCUUGUUACAUUUUCUCACUGGAGGCCUCUCACUCCCUAACUUCACCCAGCAGCUCUGUGCUGCUGACAGCCAAAUCCAUCUCUCUUUAGCCCAGUGCCCCAAAGCCUGGGAUAGCUUUGUACUUCCAGCCAUUUGCUCAGCAUCU